rnacentral:miRNA from 1 species
AACACCAAGUUUGGUGUUGAUGACGUCGAUGUUCGACGUCAUAAACAGCAUCAAGUUUGGUGUUUAUGGCGUCGAUAUUCAACGUCAUCAACACCAUCAAGUUUGGUUUUUAUGACGUCGAUAUUCAACGUCAUGAACACGAUCAAGUUUGGUGUAUAUGACGUCGAUAUACGACGUCAUAAACACCAUCAAAUUUGGUGUUGAUGACGUCGAUAUACGACGUCAUAAACACCAUCAAGUUUGGUGUUUAUGGCGUCGAUAUUCAAAGUCAUCAACACCAUCAAGUUUGGUGUU